GACGAACGCUGGCGGCGUGCCUAAUACAUGCAAGUAGAACGCUGAAGAGAGGAGCUUACUCUUCUUGGAUGAGUUGCGAACGGGUGAGUAACGCGUAGGUAACCUGCCUUGUAGCGGGGGAUAACUAUUGGAGACGAUAGCUAAUACCGCAUAACAAUGGAUGACACAUGUCAUUUAUUUAAAAGGGGCAAUUGCUCCACUACAAGAUGGACCUGCGUUGUAUUAGCUAGUAGGUGAGGUAAUGGCUCACCUAGGCGACGAUACAUAGCCGACCUGAGAGGGUGAUCGGCCACACUGGGACUGAGACACGGCCCAGACUCCUACGGGAGGCAGCAGUAGGGAAUCUUCGGCAAUGGGGGCAACCCUGACCGAGCAACGCCGCGUGAGUGAAGAAGGUUUUCGGAUCGUAAAGCUCUGUUGUAAGUCAAGAACGGGUGUGAGAGUGGAAAGUUCACACUGUGACGGUAGCUUACCAGAAAGGGACGGCUAACUACGUG
rnacentral:rRNA from 1 species